rnacentral:misc_RNA from 1 species
UCGAAACCUGCCCAGCAGAAAGACCCGCGAACAUGUUUUCCCAUGAACACGCGGGGAGGGGCGCCUCUGCCCCCUCCCUGGCGCAACAACAAACCCCGGCGCGAACCGCGCCAAGGAACACGAACUAAAGGCGUGCCCGCCCGCGCCCGGUCCGCCGGCGCGCGGGGGCGGCACCUGUCCCUACUUAAAACGU